CGCGGCCUAUCAGCUUGUUGGUGAGGUAAUGGCUCACCAAGGCUUCGACGGGUAGCCGGCCCGAGAGGGCGACCGGCCACACUGGGACUGAGAUACGGCCCAGACUCCUACGGGAGGCAGCAGUGGGGAAUAUUGCACAAUGGGCGCAAGCCUGAUGCAGCAACGCCGCGUGCGGGAUGACGGCCUUCGGGUUGUAAACCGCUCUCAGUAGGGACGAAGCUAACGUGACGGUACCUACAGAAGAAGGACCGGCUAACUACGUGCCAGCAGCCGCGGUGAUACGUAGGGUCCGAGCGUUGUCCGGAAUUAUUGGGCGUAAAGGGCUUGUAGGCGGUCCGUCGCGUCAGGAGUGAAAACUCGGGGCUUAACCCCGAGCCUGCUUUUGAUACGGGCGGACUAGAGGGAUGCAGGGGAGAACGGAAUUCCUGGUGGAGCGGUGGAAUGCGCAGAUAUCAGGAGGAACACCGGUGGCGAAGGCGGUUCUCUGGGCAUCACCUGACGCUGAGAAGCGAAAGCGUGGGGAGCAAACGGGCUUAGAUACCCUGGUAGUCCACGCCGUAAACGGUGGGCACUAGGUGUGGGGGACAUUCCACGUUCUCCGUGCCGAAGCUAACGUAUUAAGUGCCCCGCCUGGGGAGUACGG
rnacentral:rRNA from 1 species